rnacentral:rRNA from 1 species
AACUACAUCUAGCCCACCCCCCCCCAUCACUACUACUAUAAGUCAAUCAAAUAAAACAUUUACCAUACGUCUAAAGUAUAGGAGAUAGAAAUUUAACUACCAGUGGCGCUAUAGAGAAAGUACCGUAAGGGAAAGAUGAAAGAAUUGUUAAAAGUAGAAAAAAGCAAAGUUUACCCCUUGUACCUUUUGCAUAAUGAUUUAACUAGUAAUAAUUUAGCAAAGAGACCUUAAGUUAAAUUACCCGAAACCAGACGAGCUACUUAUGAGCAGUAAUUAGAACAAACUCAUCUAUGUGGCAAAAUAGUGAGAAGACUUGUAAGUAGAGGUGAAAAGCCUAACGAGCCUGGUGAUAGCUGGUUGUCCAAGAAAGGAAUUUCAGUUCAACAUUAAACAAUACUAAAAACCACAUUAAGUUUCAACGUAUGUUUAACUGUUAGUCUAAAAAGGUACAGCUUUUUAGAAACGGAUACAACCUUUACUAGAGAGUAACAUAAAACUUAAACCAUAGUUGGCCUAAAAGCAGCCACCAAUUAAGAAAGCGUUCAAGCUCAACAACAAAAACAAGUUUUAAUUUCAACAAUAAAUAAAACAACUCCUAGCCUGACUAUUGGACUAAUCUAUUCAACUAUAGAAGAAAUACUGUUAAUAUGAGUAACAAGAAAAAUUUUCUCCUCGCACAAGCCUAUAUCAGUAACUGAUA